AAUUGUCAGAGUUUAAUUUAUCUACAAAGAAGCAUAUCAUAGUUUGUGUGACUGACAGUGCAUCAGUUAUGAAAAAUUUUGGCAGAUUAUGCGGUAUGGAGCACUAACUAUGUUAUGCACAUGGACUACAUUUAGCAGUUACUGAUGUUCUCUACAAAAACAUGGUGAUUCAUGAUGCACUAGUCAGUGAAUGUAACGAACAUGAGUGGAGUUCUGCCAAACACCAUAGUGAAAAUGACAAGACUGAUACUGAAGAGAAAGAUACUGAGUUCAUAAGUUCAGUGAAUUUUCAGUCCAGCGAAAAUGAAUAUGUAUUUAAUUCAAUAAACAUUGAACUCUCUGAUGAGCUCACUCAAACAAUUGAAAAAGUCCGUAAAAUUGUACGAAUGUGUCGUAAAUCAUCACUUAAAAAUGAAAUUCUACAAAAAUACGUAAAAAUUAAGUACAGUAAAG
rnacentral:lncRNA from 1 species